UUGCUUCAGGUUACAGCCACUGACAUGAACUCUGACGUAGAGGUCUUUUGUUGUAUGUAUAUUUGGAAGUAGCUGUACUUACGGAAAGAGACAGAAAAUGCAAAGAAAGCUACCAGGAGAAAGGAAGAUGAACGUGACGGACAGAAAGAAAAAUCAGAAUGAAGAGAGAGAACAGCUGUGACGGACAACACACAGAAGGGGAAUGCUGACGGAAGCAAAGCUCAAAGCUCAGUGUCUGGUGUCAUUUGUGGAUAAAGUGAUGCAUCAUAUUGUCUUUUAUUACAUAUCAAUCAAAAGAGCAUUCCUCAAAUGUACCGAGUUACGUCCCAUAGGUCACGCUAUCUUUUGGAGUCACUGGAUUGUGUUUACGGGCGGCACGGUGUGUCAGCUGGAAACCGAUGGCCUCACAGUUCUGAGGUCCGGGUUCAAUCCUGGACAUGCCUGUGUAAAGUUUGCAUAUUCUCCCCGUGCCUGCAUGGGUUUUCUCCGGGCACUCUGGUUUCCUCCCACAUCCCAAAAACAUGCAACAUUAGUUGGACACUCUAAAUUUCCCCUAGGUGUGAUUGUGAGUGUGGCUGUUUGUCUCAGUGUGCCCUGCGAUUGGCUGGCAACCAGUUCAGGGUGUACCCUGCCUCCUGCCAGUUGACAGCUAGCAUAGGCUCCAGCCCUCCAGCACUCCUGCGACCCUCGUGAGGAUAAGCGACUAAGAAAAUGGAUGAAUAGAUGUCUUUUGAUACACAUUUAUAUGUAUUUGUCACAUACCAUCGGUGCGGGGGCGGACCGAAAUGCAUGACAACGGCAUAAUGUCCAGUGGGUUUUAUUGCAGAAGUAGUCCGCACACGGUAACAUGGUGCAAACUCAAUGAACUGACAAAUGCCCGUGACGUAAACUCCAACAUAAAUACAUGGUUAAUUAACAUGCCGAAUACAUAACAGCUGUGACGAGUGCUAGAGGUGGCACCGCCCAGAGCGGUAACCAAGCAACGCCUCUCCUGGCAGUGAUCCAGUCCUGCUCAUGACAGUAUUACGAUAAUGUGCGCUGCCAACCUGCGAUUUCUGACUUACUCGCAGGAGUUUGCCUUUUUACGAUCGUUAGCAUAGAAAUAUGAGAAACGGCUGCCCGUGAGUUUGUUUUAACAUAAACUAAGACUACAAGGGCUAGUUAAGCAGCCGUUUUUAAAAGAAAAGUCCCAUCACUCGUGCCGAAGAAGUGGGCCCAAGCAGCGCAACAAUUCAAAACAACGAGAGCUCAGCUGAUUUUUCACUCUCAAUCUUACCGAAUAGUGAAAUAUCGUUGAAGAGCACACAGCAGGGCUUCAAGUAUUUCAGCGAGGGGUAUUUCAUUGGUAUUUCCAUGCAUAUCGACUGAGAAACCAUUGAUAUUAGCGUGAGAUCUUUCCGGAGUCAGAGGAAGACCAAGAAGCCACAUACAUUGGAUCUGCAGUUGAGUCCUACAAGGAUAUCUGAAGCUCACUGUACAUGUCAAGCAGGUGUUUCUGGAUCCUGUUCACAUAUUGUUGGGCUGGUAAAUAGCAUUACAACAAUGGCAGAUGAUGGGCUUCACAGAAGUGCCAUCUAGACUGGCAUGCACAUCUCUUCCAGAGCAAUGGAGCAAGCCAAGAGAUCGCAAGAUUGAGCCAGUUACAGUUCCACAAAUUGUAUUUGCCUAUGUGGUGUCCAGCCCAAGACUGACAGUGAACACUCAUCUGGGUACAGUGCCUGUGGCCAGUGGUCUUGCAACAUUUGCCGAGUUCUUUGAACAAGAAGAUGCAAGGAAAGUUGGGACCAGUUGUGGUAAUCUAGCCUUCCCUCAAUUGUCAAAAGUUACCCCAGCUGAAAUAUUCAAGACAGGGUUUAGUGAACUACCUCAAGAAAAGUGUAUCCAGAUAGAAGAAAGCACAAGGGACCAAGCCAACAGUACACUGUGGCAGACAGAAAGAAAACGGCCUCUAACAGUAUCAAAUUUUGGGACAAUUUUGAAAAGAGAGAAAAUUAGUGAAUAAUUUGUUAUGGACUUAAUCGACUCAAAGUGUUUCAAUUCAGUGCAGACUUCUUAUGGCCAAAACAAUGAAAAAGUGGCAGUUGAACAAUACAUCAAAAGUACUGGAAACCAUGUACAUGACUGUGGAUUAAUAGUAAAUCCGAAAUUUCCAUAUCUUGGAUCUACACUAGAUGGCAAAGUGUGCUCCGAUUGGAAGACAGGGAUCCUUGAGGUCAAAUUCUCCUAUUCUAAAAGAGAUGUAAUUGUGCAAGAAGCCAGUACUUCAGAUAAUUUCUGUUUGGAAGAUAAUUAUGGACAAUUGUGUCUCAAAACUAAUCACAAGUAUUACUAUCAAGUACAGGGACAGCUGCUCACAUCUGGAGCUGAAUUUUGUGAUUUUGUGGUCUACACAAGAACAGACCUAUUUGUUCAGCGAAUAUACCCAAACAUUGACUUCAUGAGGAAUAUGUUGAAUGACCUGAGUCAAUUUUAUUUCCAACAUGUGCAGUCUCAUAUCAUAGACAUUAAACUGACCCAUGAAUUUCUUUUUAGGGUUGAUUACAUUUGUGUCACAUAGGAUGUUUAUGUACUUCCCUAUAUGGAUCAUAAACUUUGUUUUGUUUUAACUUGAAUAAAGUAACAUUUGGAAAUAACAUAAAAUGCUGAGGGGUUUACAGUAUCAUAGAUAAUCACGAAUGGGUGUAAAUUCUUACAUCUUGA